UGAGGAUUUGAAUGAUGGAUUGAACAAAUUUACAUCCAGAAUUCAUCUAAAUUUCAAUUCAAAUGCAUGUGAAUGAAUUCCCUUUUUAAAUGGGUCCCAAAGAAGAAUGGUAUGUUGGGGGAGC